UAAGACGAACCGUGCGAACGUUAUUCGGAAUCACUGGGCUUAAAGCGCGUGUAGGCGGGGCGGCACGUCGGCCGUUGAAAGCCCCCGGCUCAACCGGGGAAGGGGCGCCGAUACGACCGCCCUCGAGGGGCGUAGGGGGAGCCGGAACUUCCGGUGGAGCGGUGAAAUGCGUUGAGAUCGGAAGGAACGCCCGUGGCGAAAGCGGGCUCCUGGACGCCUACUGACGCUGAGACGCGAAAGCCAGGGGAGCGAACGGGAUUAGAUACCCCGGUAGUCCUGGCCGUAAACGAUGGGCACUGGGUAGGGGGCUCGCCGAUGGGCUCCCUGCCGUAGGGAAACCGUGAAGUGCCCCGCCUGGGGAGUAUGGUCGCAAGGCUG
rnacentral:rRNA from 1 species